rnacentral:lncRNA from 1 species
UGGUGUAGGCCAGCAGCUGCAGCUCCAACUGGACCCCUAGCCGGAGAACCUCUAUACGCCAUGGGUGCGGCCCUAAAAAAAAAAGACAAAAAAAUUUUUUUCAUGUUGCUUCUUGUCCCUUUUAUUUAUAGAAUUUUCACUUGGUUCAUUUUUAUAAUGUCCAUUUCUCUGCCUAUAUUCCCUAUCCAUUCAUUAUGAGCAUUUUUUGUCUUUAACUAUAUUGAACAUAUUUUUAUGGGUUCUUUAAAGCCCUUAUAUAUUAUUAAUGCCACAUCUGGAUCAUUUUAGGAUAUGUUUCCAUUGGCAUGUAAUUGGAGCCUUGGGAGAAGAAAGGUCAGAAAAACAAAUUUAGGAAAUAUUUUGGUUAAUAUUUUGUCUUUCAAUAUUUGAAAGGCAUAUUAAUAUUGAAAUCUAAAAUUAUAGUACUAAGUUCUGGGUAUUAUAACAUAUAAUACCCAGAUAUAAUACAUAUAGUAUAAUCUAUAUUAUAACCAUAGUACCCAGGAUGGGGCAAGGAUAAAUGUAACCAUAGCAAUGCAUGGUUCUUAUACUUUAUAUAAAGCUGUAUUAUAUUAAUUCUAAGUGGACUCUAAUUAUUUAAAGCUGCCUGCCAUAACCUUAUGACAAUCACUGAAAAAAAUGUGGUGAACUAUAGCUAAAAAGCCAGAAUUAAAGUAUAAUAAUAAUAAGUAUUUUAUAACCCAAAAUAAUGCAGGAAAAAUAAAGAAAGGAACUAAAAUAUACAAGGUUAUAUAGAAAAUUUUAAAAAGAAAAAUGGUAGACUUAAAGCCAGCCAUAUUGGUAAUUACUUUAUACUCUAAUUUCUCAAUUCUUUGACUGGUUAAAUGCUGAAUAAAGCAUUUUAAAAUUUAUUUGUAGUUUUCUUUAAAUCUCAGGUAGUCUGUGUAUUUUUUCUUUAUAAAAUAUGAUGCUAUGAUAUUUACCCUUAAUGGAGUCAAUUCAAUUUUAUCUUCUUCUGGAUUGUACUUUUGAUUGUAACUCAUUUUUCUGAUGAAACUUCUUUUUAAUCUCAGAUGUGUCAUUUUGAAAAACAUUUUGUUGCAUUAUAUUUUUAAAUUUAAUAUUUUAAAUUGGAUAAUAUAAUCAUAUUAUUAUUAUUUAUAUAAUAGGCAGUGUUGUUUUCAUUUACCUUUGCCAUUUUAUAAUCCUCCUUUGUUUUAAAGUGAUUUGCAAUGUUUUAUUUAACUUUAAUCUGUUUUUAUGUAACUUGUGUUUCCUCCAUUUCACUCACUUAGAAGGUAUGUUGCAUGUGUGUUUUGACUAGUUUAGGUUACUUACAAACCUAUAAAUCAUGUGCAAUAAAAACAUAUUUUUAUGUGAUCUGCUUAAUAGGGACUUCCUUUUUUGAAAGAAGAAUAUAAUACAUGUUUGUGAAUUCCUUAUUCAGGUAACAAAAUAAUUAAUGACUAUGAUAAAUGUUUUCAUUUAUUGAGUACACACUUAAAUGUGGUAGAUUCUAUGCUGAAAUGUUGGUAAAACUUGAGUUUUUUAAUUUUUUUAAGUACCCCAUUAGAUGUGUAUUAGAAGAUUAUAAAGCUGACACAUAUGUAUAUAGUUUUUUAUGUGUGCCUAAAUAGUGGGGAUACUCAUAUUGCCUUCUUCAAAUUUCUCUUUUAAGUAGAUUAUGUAUUCAUGUAGAUAAAACCACCGGGAAAAAUUUAGAACAAAAUGCUGCAGGAAAACAACAACGAUGGCAGUCAUUGUGGUAACUGGUUGAGGCAGUAUUUGAACCUAGAUAUAUCUUAUCUGCAGAACUGUUCACUUAACCAUUAUACCCUGAUUAUGUCCCCACUCUAGCUUCACUUUGUUGACAUAACCUUAAAUUUUAAUCUCAUGGUCACAUGGUACAUUUGUAUAAUUAUAUUCAGUUGUAAUAUCUGUACAAAUACAUUACAUUACGUAAGUAAAAUUAUCAAAUUUAUUCCAUCAUAGCACUCUGUUUUGCAACACUAGAUACAGUAUGAUCAACAAUUAAUCACAUAUCACCUCUCGCUCCAUGAUACCACAUUCACAUCAUUUUUAUUUUAUCUUUUUUUUGUUGGAAGUAUUAUAUUCUCAAGAAUUGUUCAAGAAGCAUUCUAGAAAAAUAUAGUCCCUUAGUCUUGACAUUAUUAGCCUUUCUUUGCAUUUCUUCAUAAUUGUCUUAAUUAGUCAUAUCAAUAUCUUAAAAGGGGAAAAGGAAAUCAAUAAUCUUCUAUAACCAUGCUAAGUCUAGCUUCAAUCUCAGUGGAAUCCAGGAGUCCAGGAUCUAAAGAUAGAGCUGACUUUUCUUAUUUCUGUAUUUCUUGGCUUUGAUUAAUUCUGCAGUCCAUUUUUUUCUUUAGCCGAUUGGCAAAAAAGAACAUUUUAAUUUCUGAAUUCAAUUAUCUGCUUUGCAAUUUUAGUAAAAUGUGAGCUUCUCUUCCCUUUUCUAUAUUUAAGUCUUACUUGAGUCACUAAGAUGUUCACUGACCCAAUAGGAACUUUGGGUAGUUGGGUCAUUUCCCCAGUGGAAGUAGGGCACCCCAUGAUUAUCAUCUGGUCCAGUACUUCAUGGUCUAGAUGAAAAUGUCCCCUAAGAAAAAGGGAAAGGGAGUUAGUUGCAAACAUGGCCAGGCAACUCUAAAGUAUAGGUACCAUCACCCACCACUAGUGUUCAAGUGCUCUAAUGUAAGCCUUUAUGACCAUAUAUGUCAUGUUAAUAAUUACCACAAGCUUACAUUCUCAAAAAACCCUACAUACCACCUGAUGUAUAUAUACCACCUGAUAUAUAUAGCUUGAUGGACAACAGCACUGGAAUAAGUUUGCUGGUCAAUUAAUCUAGUUGUUCUGUUUUGCUUUGGUAGAAGAGUUCAGUUUUCUAGGGAGCUUAGAAGCUAUAUGAUAGCAGUGGUUAGAGAAUUCCUUUUUUUGUGAGCUAUUAUAACUUAAAAAUUCCUUUACCAGCACUUCAGGGGAUUGAUGUUUUUGUUGAUUAGGCUUUAGGUUUCUAAUUCAUAUAUUCAAUUCUCUUGAAGCACCAAGCUGACAGGCAGCUCAGUUGAGGAAACUUCUUGGGAUAUGAAUCAUUAUCAGACACCAUUACUUAUCACAGUAUUUAAAUCAUGAUUCUACCUGUAGAGAAAAAAUGGUUCUUUCUGUCUUGACCUCAGGUUGUCAAAGUGAGUAAUAAAGCAUCACUUAUUUCCUGAGGCAAUAACCUCCUAAAGGGACUCUUUAAGGGCCAGUGGGGUACACCUUCCACUCAGGAAAUAAGUGUAUAUCUGGAGGUAUUGGUAAAGAUUUCUCAUCUCACUCUGGCUUGGAGAGAUUAUGGCUAUUGCAAAUUUUCUAGUAUCAUGAUCUUUUGACCUUCAGGUUUCUUAUAUUUUUCACACAAAAAGGACUUCUCCACAAAACUUCAUGUUGUUCCCUGCUUUUAACUGGGCAACUUGAGAUGGCAAUUAUUUCUUUGUAGCAACACCAUCAUGACCCGCUACAGCACCCUAAAUAUUAUCACAUAUUUUUGGUAGCAACCCAAAGACUUCAUGCCAUGAAUAUCCAAAAGGCUAUGUUAAUGCACUGCUUUGAUAUAAUAUCAAAAUAAUUGCCAUUUUUAUAUUGGAAAGCCCAAUGAGAUAAACACAGAAUAUAAUGAUAUGAUAGAACUUCCUCAGAGAAAGUAAGGAAAUGAAGACUAUAAUGUAUGUUAGACACAAAAAUUAUUGUUGUUUUUUUCUUUUAAUUCUUUUCCACUGAAAAGAUGGUCCCAACUCCAUCCUACCUGUUUAUCCUCCACCUCAGUGAGGUUCUUUUCAGGCUUUUGUAGAAUUGUAUAAAAUUAAGAUCUCUUAACACUUGUAAAAUAAUCAGAAAGAACAAACUUGUAAAAGAAACUAUGUCUAAGAUGUAGAAAUACAGCAUUAGUCUGUACUACAAAUGGAAAGGUUUAAUUCACAUAAAUGAAAAUAAUACCAGAUGAAGGAAAAAAGUGGGGAUCAUCCAUUCCUCUAAUUGUAGUCAAGAUACAGAUUUUUAAAUUUUUGUUGCAGACAUAGAAAUACAUUAUUUUUAGCAACUCUCAACUUGAAAAAAGCAGUUGCUAUUGCUCUGAGAAUACCACAGGAGAUACAAUACCCAACUGCAUGGUAUAUUUUUAAAAUUUAAAAUGACAGUGCUGGGUAUUUUCUGUUUCUCUCCUCUCCUGGGAAUUCUGCUCUAGAUAGCAUAGCUUGUAUAAGACCACAGAGAAGUCUUUUCAGAAUGUUCCACACUAUUCUGGGUAGGAUUGACUUUCUCUGCCCUGGUUUGGAGAAAAAUUAGAUUCAUCAUUAAUAAAUUAAAGGUAUACAUUGAUAAAAAAUAGAAAAAAAUUUCUAAAUUAAACUUCAGGAUGAAAUAGUGUCAUUAUUCUUAGAUAUGUUUGUAAUUUCAGUCAGUUAUCAUUUUUAUUUUAAUUAUUGUGAGUGUUCCUUUCGUCCUUGAUAAACUAUAGGCUCCUUGAGAUUGUCUUUUUAUAUUUAGAUAUUAGUGCUCCCCACACUUUCUCAUCAUAGUAUGCACUCAAUAAAUUCAACUUCAAUUUUUGAAUGAUUUAUUGAAUGAUUAAAGGAACCAGUGAGAUAAAUACAUAUACACUCUAAACCUCACAACAGACUGAAAGAAUAACAUAUGCAUGUGUGUGUAAUUGCACACUCCUGAAUCUAUAUACAUAGCUUUUUACAUGUAUAUAUAACAUAUUACAGUUACAUACACAAUCUGUUGCAGGUGGAUAUGAGUUAGAGGGCAAGAGGUCAUUGACAACUUCAUAUUGUCUGUUGGCACUAUACUGAGUUCCACUGAAAUCAGCCAGAAGGAUUGUACUCUUCUUGUGUCUGGUACAAUACCUUGUGUAGAAGAUAUGCUACAGCAAUGUUCGUCUAUUGAAUAAAUUACCAAAAAUAUGAUUGAUUGAAUGAAUGGGCAAGAGGAUUUUUUCCCUACCUGUUGUGGGAAGCUUCUUCUAAUUAUUAUCUUCAUGAAAGAGAAAGGUGUAUCUAGAGAGAACCACAUAGCUAAAAUCAUGAUGGGAUUUAAUUUUUGAGGUCACUGAUACAUCUUUUUCUAACAUGCCAUAAAUGAAUAAGGUUAUAAACAUAAUAGGAUAUGUGCUUAAGCUGACACAUUUUCUUCCUUUUGAGGGGUUAUUGUUUGAUUUAUUUUAUGCAUUUAAUGAGUAAAUAGAUAAAAAGUAAAUGUAAUAAUACUAUCCUAUCAUUACCACUUAUUGAGAUUUUGCCUCAUGCUUUACUCCAUAUCUAUGUCGUCUAUAUAUAUCUUCACAUGUACAUCUAUGUAGGGAUUAGGCUCGCCUAAUUGAGGAGAAACUCCAAUACUUAGAGAUCAAGAAAGGUGUCUUGGGACAUACAUUGCUGUAAUGACAGAGCAGCUUACUUCUACAUCAUUUGGGCAGAAUAUCCACUACAAUGAAAAUACAAGCUUAUUCCUUCACAAAAUCUACCUGUUUUUCCUCUUCCCUUUUUUGUCCCUGCUUCUGGGUGAGAUGUAAUAGGAAAUAAAUAGUUAUGAUCCAUUUUUUUGUAUUCUAUCCAGACACCUAGAAACCUCCAAAAUUAAAAAAACGAGGAAUCAAAACUGAAACUAUAGAACAGCUUAUUUUAUGUUACUGAACAAUCAGGGACAAGCUGAAGUGCAAGAACAUAAGGAAAUAUGCCACAUAAUGAAAUCAUAUGCAGGAUAGAAGAAUUCUGGAGGGACAAUAUUAGAAUGAUCAUAUUCAUCAUAAAAACUAUUUUAUGGUACCCUAUUAUUCUAGCCCCUGUGGCUGUCACUUUAUAUAAUUUUACUGUGUAAUAUUUAG